rnacentral:snoRNA from 1 species
AUGCAUCUAUUUGACCUGGAGCAGUUCCUGUCUGCUGCUAAGGUUUUCAUUACAGAUGCAAGAAAAAAGUGUCCUAAUUGUGGCAGCCAUUAUUGAAUGGGGGAAUACAGGG